rnacentral:rRNA from 1 species
UACGUAGGGGGCAAGCGUUAUCCGGAAUUACUGGGUGUAAAGGGUGCGUAGGUGGCAUGGUAAGUCAGAAGUGAAAGCCCGGGGCUUAACCCCGGGACUGCUUUUGAAACUGUCAUGCUGGAGUGCAGGAGAGGUAAGCGGAAUUCCUAGUGUAGCGGUGAAAUGCGUAGAUAUUAGGAGGAACACCAGUGGCGAAGGCGGCUUACUGGACUGUCACUGACACUGAUGCACGAAAGCGUGGGGAGCAAACAGGAUUAGAUACC